AUUGAACGCUGGCGGCAGGCCUAACACAUGCAAGUCGAACGAGUGGCGGACGGGUGAGUAAUGUCUGGGAAACUGCCUGAUGGAGGGGGAUAACUACUGGAAACGGUAGCUAAUACCGCAUACCAUCGGAUGUGCCCAGAUGGGAUUAGCUAGUAGGUGGGGUAAAGGCUCACCUAGGCGACGAUCCCUAGCUGGUCUGAGAGGAUGACCAGCCACACGGAAAGUGAGACAGGGUACAGACCUCUACGGGAGGCAGCAGUGGGGAAUAUUGCACAAGGGGCGCAAGCCUGAUGCAGACAUGCCGCGUGUAUGAAGAAGUCUUUCGGUUUGUAAAGUACUUUCAGCGGGGAGGCGUUACCCAAAGAAGAAGCACCGGCUAACUCCGUGCCAGCAGCCGCGGUAAUU
rnacentral:rRNA from 1 species